AUGGAGAUGGUUCUGGUGAGCGCGGCGACGGGUGCACUGAAACCCGUCCUCGAGAAGUUGUUUGCCCUCAUGGGUGACGAGUACAAGCGUUUUAAGGGUGUGCGUGGUGAGAUUCAGUUCCUCACGGAUGAGCUCACCGCCAUGCAUGCCUUUCUCCUCAAGAUGUCUGAGGAGGAGGAACCUGAUGAGCAAGAUAAAGUGUGGAUGACUGCGGUCCGGGAGCUCUCCUAUGACAUGGAGGACUCGAUCGAUGACUUCAUGCAAGGUGUUGGCAACAAAGAUUCAAAGCCAGAUGGCUUCAUAGAGAAGAUCAAGAACUCACUUGGGAAGUUAGGGAAGAUGAAGGCUCGUCGUAGGAUUGGUAACGAGAUCCAUGAUCUGAAAAAACAGAUCAUCGAUGUCGCCGAGAGGAAUGAAAGGUACAAGACCCGGCAGGCCAUCUCCAACAUAAAAAAUGAAGUUGUUGAUCCUAGAGCUCUUGUUAUCUUUGAGCAUGCCUCAAAGCUCAUCGGAAUGGAUAGACCAAAGGCUGAUCUAGCCAAACUGUUGAAUAAGAGAAAUGGAUGGGUGUCAUCGAAGGAGGAAGAGCCGCUGAAAAUAGUUUCCAUUGUUGGAUCUGGAGGAUUGGGCAAGACAACUCUUGCAAAUCAAGUGUAUCAAGAGCACAAAAAGGAAUUCGACUGUUGUGCUUUCCUAUCCGUGUCACGGAAGCCAGCCAUGAUGAACAUCCUUAGAAGUAUUCUUAGUCAAGUCAGCAAUCAACGUUACGAUGACACCAAAGCAGGGAGCAUACAACAAGUCAUCAGCAACAUCACAGAAUUCCUUGCGGACAAAAGGUAUUCAGUUUCCUUUUACAUGUUAUCUUUGUAUUCAAUUGAGAUGCUAUUUAGUCCCUCUUGGUUUAUAGGGCUCAUCUAA
rnacentral:rRNA from 1 species